rnacentral:lncRNA from 1 species
AUGCUGAUUUCACCACAAGCAACUUCACAACCCAGUACUGGAAUGCCAUCAGCCAGCAGGCCCCUGCCAUUAUCUGUGACUUCUAUCUGUGGCUCAUUGGAAGGAAACCCAGUUUUUCACAAAAUCUGAGGAGCUGAUACGGAAAGCACACCAGAUCUCAUGUGUUGAAAUGUGAACAUGCUCACCACAGACCAAGGACAUUCAACCUGUCAAUCCCCAGGAUUUCCAAGCCAGGAGUUUCAUCUCUUACUUGUGGAAAAUUUGUCCAUUUAAUUGUGAACCAAUCAGCUUUUCAUUGUGUCAAAAUCAAAUCUGGAUAGUGAAAUAUAUAUUUUAUCUUUAUUGUUAUCUUAAAUAUAUCUUGGCUUAAAGAGACAUAAGUAGCUCUUCCCCACUACACCAGAUAAUGAGUUGCAAAUAAAUCAUUCAGUAGUAAAGUUCAAA